rnacentral:rRNA from 1 species
UACGUAGGUGGCAAGCGUUGUCCGGAUUUACUGGGCGUAAAGAGCGCGCAGGCGGUCGUUCAAGUCGCGUGUGAAAGCCCCCGGCUCAACUGGGGAGGGUCACGCGAUACUGUUCGACUCGAAGGCAGGAGAGGGUAGUGGAAUUCCCGGUGUAGUGGUGAAAUGCGUAGAUAUCGGGAGGAACACCAAUGGCGAAGGCAGCUUGCUGGGACGGUACUGACGCUGAGACGCGAAAGCGUGGGGAGCAAACAGG